GGCGGCCGUUACUAGUGGAUCCGAGCUCGGUACCGUACUUGGCGUAAUCCUGGUCAUAGCUGUUUCCUGACCUGGGGAAACCCAGGCUAAUCCGCCAUGUGGUCCUGUCCUGUGGGGUAGGACUAAAGGGUGGAUAGCCCGCUUCCGGAUGGGCCCGCGUCCCAUCAGCUAGUUGGUGGGGUAAAGGCCCACCAAGGCGACGACGGGUAGCCGGUCUGAGAGGAUGGCCGGCCACAGGGGCACUGAGACACGGGCCUCACUCCUACGGGAGGCAGCAGUUAGGAAUCUUCCGCAAUGGACGGAAGUCUGACGGAGCGACGCCGCUUGGAGGAGGAAGCCCUUCGGGGUGUAAACUCCUGAACUGGGGACGAAAGCCCCGUGUAGGGGGAUGACGGUACCCAGGUAAUAGCGCCGGCCAACUCCGUGCCAGCAGCCGCGGUAAUACGGAGGGCGCGAGCGUUACCCGGAUUUACUGGGCGUAAAGGGCGUGUAGGCGGCUUGGGGCGUCCCAUGUGAAAGGCCACGGCUCAACCGUGGAGGAGCGUGGGAUACGCUCAGGCUAGAGGGUGGGAGAGGGUGGUGGAAUUCCCGGAGUAGCGGUGAAAUGCGCAGAUACCGGGAGGAACGCCGAUGGCGAAGGCAGCCACCUGGUCCACUUCUGACGC
rnacentral:rRNA from 1 species